AGAAGAUUGUCAGAAAGCUGCCUCCUCCCUAGAUGCAGUUUAAGUGAACACUGGGAAUAUUUUCCAUGUCUUUUUUGACUGAACCAUCCCCAGGGGGUGUUGAUACAGCCAUCAGUGAUACAACUUAAACCUGAUGCCCUGGUGAUCUUUUAGUAACAAAGAAUGACAGGAAAAAUUGAAGAUUUAUAGGUAGUCAGUGGUUAUCUAUGCAGUGAAGAGGGUUUUUGUUUCCUCUGUGAAGUGUAUCUUCAUGUCAGCAGUUCUUAUUCAAUGCUGAUUAUCCAUUUAUUCUUCUCCAGCUUUCUAAUUUUUAAUUCCUGUGCUUUCUUCCUCACAGGAAAGUAAGAUGAACCAUUUUAGCUAUAAGUGGAAUAAUAUUAAAUGUGAAAAAAUUGGGUUCAGAGCCAUCAGAAAGUGAAUGCCACAGUAGGGGCAUUAUGGAGGGGUUGUCUUUGGACCUCUAAUUGAAGCAUCUCAAAACUUUUCAAGAAUAUUCAUGUUUGAUUUAAGUUUGGAACUGACAUCCUUCAAUUUGCUACACUGAAAUAGCAUUUGCUUAUGCUAUAAUUUGUUUCAUUUCCCAGCUCUCCUCUGAGCCUGAGCCAUCCUAUGUGAUGGAGUUGCAGCUGCCUGCUGGAGAGUGAAGUGAAAUAUGUGCCUGUGUCUUGGGAGGAGGAACUGGCACAGACACAAUGCACUGAAUCUCAGAUGAUGAUGCCUGGUCCCUUAUUCCACUUCCCAGGCAGUUCCAGCACAUGUGAGGGUCCUUUUGUGCUUGCCUGUGCUUUUUCCACACUCCAAGUGUGCUUUAGGGGAGAACAUGGACCUCCUGCUCUGUGUGGGUGGUUAAGAGUGUGACAUCCUUUCCCAGAUUUAUUUUUGUUCCCAGCUGGUUCAUUCUGGAUUUUCCCUCUUUGAGGAUGUUUGUUGUAUGUAGCUGGUGUUUAAUGCUGGAGAGACCUGACUCAUUCUAUCAGGGUAAUUGAUACUGACCUAAUUACACAGAUGAGUUUUGCACUGGAAUUUUUAAUGGCACUUAAUAAUUAUAAGAGUCCUUAAUUCCCUGUGUCUGAUUCAGUCCUUUGCCUCGUGUGGUUUCAAAGAGCAAGGGCAUUGGAUGGAAUUAUUUUCUUUAUUUUGUGUUGGGUAACUCUCCAUGCCCCCUGCCUGGGAAGCAAGGGGAGCUGCUGCUGUUUAACCUCUCCAUGGAGAAAGCUGUGCCUGAAUCCAGUGACACACUGUUGUUCCUCAUCCAAACAGGAUAUGGAUGACUCUGAGCUCUGUAGGAGAUUGCCAAGGUCAGAUGAGGAUAGGGAGACUCUCAGCACAGCUCUGCCCAGGAAACCCUUAAGCCACAUUUGCUGAAUGGGAACCCUCCUAGACAAGAUCCAUCUUGUUCCAUCGUGUGGAUGGUGCCUGUCUGGAGAGGAGGCUCCUGCACAAUCCAGGAGAGUCACUCCACACCUUCCUAACUGUGAAUGUGCAGGGCUGUGUCCCAGAGCACUGCAGCAAGGAGAAGCCCAGGUGCUAGUCAUCACCUCUCCAGUUUCCAGCCCCAGCAGCUGUGCCCUUCCUUCCCCAGCACUCCAGCCAGGCAGGAAUGCUGCCAAGGCCAGCCUCACGUGGAGCAGCUGAAGUGGUAAAUGAUGCCCUUCACCUGCCUGUAUCUGGUGCACCGAAAUAUUUUAGAGGCUUUUUUUCCCCCUUCUGUCUGCAUCUUGUCCGUGAUUUCAAGUGAAGCACAGUGGUUUUGAAAAACCCAUGGAUAGUUUAUUUCCAGAUGUGUGUUUACACCUUGCAUAUCUCUGGGGGCUAAACAGAUGCCAGAUCACCCGUGUGGGUGUAGUUCUGUGAGAGUAAGCAGAUAAACAUGGUGCUCCAGAGCUGAUGUUAUUGUUUCUAUCCCCAGAAGGGAGAUCUGUGAAAGGAAAGGGCACAAACUGCAGAAGAAAACAACCAGCCUUUCAUUUAGUCUCCUGGCAUCUGCUUGAAUAAACUGGUGCUGCUUUAACAUUACAUUAAGCAUCCCUCCCACCUACUUUUUGAAUUCGUCUCAAGUUUCUUUUAUUUUGAUCUAUUCUGAAUAUCCCAGGGUCUGGAAUUUGUCUUUUAUAAUGAUAUAUGACUCAGCAUGAUGCCAGCCUCAGCUCCAGGGAAUCUUUGUUCAUGUUGAGAUCUGAAAAUCUUUAUAAACAUACACUUGGAGGAAAAAUAGUUUGGUAUUCAAGAAGCAGGAUAAAGAGUUAGAAGAGCUCCAAGUGCUCUUAGCAGCUGUGUCAUAUCUUACUGGGCUGACAUAGAGUAAAUCCACAGCCCAUCCAUAUUUUCAAUAUGCACACAGUUUGGGUUUCCUCAUCCCAAAAGGACGGAGGGGAACUGCAAAAGGUGCAGAAGGAGACCACACAUAGCAGCUUCAGUCUUUGUGAGGUGUAAGUCUUGGAUUUGGGAAGGAAUGACUGAGGAAAGGGCUACAGAAUCGAGAGUAGCCUGGAAAAGCAAAUGAGGGGCUUCAACAGGAGUGAGCCAGAGGCACAGGAAAAACUUAUGGGCUCUUUUACACUCAGGCACUGGAUUUUCCUGAUACCAAACUAAACCUCCCCUGACUCAGCUUCAUACCUUUUCCCCAAGUCCUGUUGAUAAAUAACAUAGAGAAUAUAAAUUUUUAGUUCCCCUGACAUUGCUGGGCAGAGCCUAAAGACUAACUAGCAAAAAAGAUGAAAGAAUGUAAAGGCAUGCACUCAGGAUGAUAAAUGUACCUGAAAAUGUAUAUGUGCAGAAACAGAUAAUGAGGUCUAUAGUGGGUUUCUGGUAAGUUAUGUAACAAGAAGCAGCAGUGCAUGCCCAAAGAAAAAGUUGAAGGAAAGGUCACCCGUAAUAUUGAAGGAUUCAGUGAGUACAACCACCAGAGACCCCUUUACAUGAAUCUCCAGGACCAUAAAAAUCUCCAGUAGGAGAUUGAUGACUGCAAAUUAGUUCUAGGAAAAGUGAUGUUUAUGUAUUAGCUAGGAGGCACAUUGUAAUGAAUAUGUAUGAUUAUGAUGAAGUAAAAACCCUGCUGCAAAGUCUCACCACACACCUCAGAUUGAAGGAGAUCUCCUCCUAUGUGUCCCGUGCUGUUAAAGAAUGCCUGCUUUGUAAUGCUUCAAGUUGUGUUGGGAAGUUUAUUUUCUGGCCGAUUUUGGGAUCACUGUCACUGGGAGGAUCCACUGAGGUCUCCCCUCAGUCUCCUCUUGUCCAGCCUGGUCAGACCAAGUGACCUCAGCUGCUCCUCACACAGCUUCUCCUCCAGACCCUUCACCAUCCUGGCAUCCUCCAGCAGAGCCCAACAGACCCCCUCAGCUUGCACUGCCUUCAUGUCACAGCCAGGUUUUCAUUUGGAUCCGUGCCUGCUCAGUGAGGAAGGUUAAGCUGGGCUCCUCUGUGGUCAUUCAGCACAAACCCAGCUGGGGAUGAGCCACCAGCAAGAGCCUGGGGAGGCCAACAAGGGCCUGGCAGAGAAACCAGCCUGGGAGAGCAAGGGAAGAUUGGGAUUGCAGAGAUUUGAGUGAUAUAAAGUCUGUCUUUCACUAGAGGGUUUUACAGAGUGGCUGGAAGCAAGGGAGGGCAUUGAAAGCUGUUUGAGGUACCCUGGCUUCUCUGUGCUGAGGUUUUUUUGACUGUUCCUAAACCCUCCCCUUCUAACCAAUGGUGCUGGCGUGUCAGUAGAGCUUAAGAUUUGAGAUUGCAACUCUUCUAUAUAAAAUUCCUGUCUUCUGAUUUUACUCUAUUAGGCCAAAAUGCUGCAUAGACAAUCCUAUUUACAGGCAUGAGGCAGCUGCUUUUCAUUAGGAUCAUUUGCCAUAAGCCCAGCUGCCAAAUUAUUUCUGCAUUUAAAGGAUGACUGUCUCGGCCCCUGUGCUCCAUGGCCAGCAGGCUGCCAGGUGGCAGCAGGUCAACCAUUUCCACCCAAAUCAGGGCUGGAGACCUCAAAGCCUUGUACAAAUCAGCCCAGCUGGGCACAAAUGCCCCAACCAGGAGGGUUUUUGAUGGGGGCUGGUGGCUGAGAGCCACCAAGCAGCCUCACCAGGGGAUAUUAAGGUCCUGUUCCACUGCAGGCAGACCUAUUUGUUGAAAAUCCCUAUCAGUGUGUUGCUGGAUGAGCUGGGCCCUGCAGAAUUAUCUACAGCAUGAGAUCCUCCCUGGCUCAGCAUGGGUGGCACUCCGCUGGGGUGACCAAGUUACUAUUUUACAAAUCCCCUUUCCAAGCACACCUCUUACUACCUUUUUAAAAAUUUGAUGUUGAUUUUCAGAGCCAUUAAAGGUUGCAAUGCUUGCUCAGUCUAUUUUUUUUUUUUUUAAACCAACAAUUAUUUUGGCUUGCUCCAGGUGGGAUUUUUCUUUCUGGCUGGUGAGUUGCUGUGGCUGCUGGCAGUUGUUCAGCCGAUGCAAUCUGUUGCUCAGCUGGUUUUUGUUCCUUCCCAGCCCAGCCAGCCAGGACAGAGGGGAAGUGUCACACACCCGACACGGGCCAGCUUUUUGGCCUGACUGCUGUUUUUAACAUCUGGAUUCCUUCAUGAGGAGUCAUUAACAGAAAUAAAAGAGAGUUCAGGCUGAAGGGGGAGGAAGUUCCCCUUCGAUAGCUCAAUGUUAGGGGAUGUUCACGUUUGUGGCACAGUCACUGGGGGAAUUGGAUGUAUUUCUGAUUCUCUCUCCAAGAGCUGAUGCUGAGGGUGAUGGCAGCUGCCAGCGUGGGCCCAGUCAUCCUCCCUGCAGGCACGCACAGAGCAGCUGGGAUUUAGGCUGAGCUCAUGUCUGCCUUGAAAUCAGGCAGGGCUUUGCCACUGGCUUUGUUGUACAGCCCCAGCACACACAAAUGUUUCUGAGCACCCAUUCCCCACGGGGUUUUCAUCAAAAUACCUGACUUUUGCUGGAAGCUGGAGGCACCACAGCUCAUGUCUGGGUGAUUUCGAAGGGUGUGCUGCCAGGCACAGUCUUUGGGAGUCAUUUGCUCCCUGCACAGAGCAGGAAGAAGAAUCCAUCUCUUUUAUUGCCUUUGGUCCCCCAGCGGCUUCACGGCAUGGGCUUACAGAGCAGCGCCUCCUGCAGCCUUUCAGAGCUGGGAUUUGUCCUCAUUUUUAUGAUUUCUUGGAUUUUCAACAUUUGCCUUCACUUCUGCUCUGUGUGAGAGUCUUUAGCAAGAGCAGGAAGUGGAAACUAUCGUCAUGCUCCAGAACCACACGUAAUUAACAGCACUGGAGGAAAAACUGGUGCCAUGUUCUCACUUUGAACUUCUGCUAUUUCUUAAACCACUUCCUGACUGCAGUAUCAUCUUGAAAGCACCAGUUUCUUUGGUUUUGUUAUUUUGUUUUGGUUUUUUUUUUUUCCCUUUUCACACUCCAGCAAUCCCUGCUGCCUUUCUCCAGCACCUUCCAGUUUGUCCCUUUGCAGACCCAGCCACGCCGGCCUGGAACGGGGACCGCCCCAGGCAAAGUGCAGCUGGUCCUGUGUCAGCAUCAGGCCAGGAUCCGUGCCACCCCUUGGCACCCCAUUCCUGAGCAGGCAGGGAGUAAAUCCCAUCAUUCUGGCCACAGCCUUUGUGGCAGCUGUUUUAUUUCUAAUUAGGAUCCCCCUCGCUCUUCCCCAGCUGUGCAAUAACGAACCAGCACGGAGAGGAACAGCGGAGUGUCGUGGCCGCCUCCCCCGCAGGAAAGCGGCGGUGGCGGGCGGGGUGGCCCCGGUGACAAACCGCGUUCCUCAGCCCCGGGCAUCGCAGUCAUCCCGAAAGUAAAUGUGGGGCGGUGCUGGCCCGUCCCUUGUCCCUGUCCUGUGCAUCGCCACCUUCCCUAGGCCAGGACAGGCUGCCUUGGGGCACGAGGGAGCAAUAGGACGGUAUUUUUGUGCCGGGCUGGGAAAGUCCCUAAGGUGGCCCGGGGCUUUUCCAGGGCGGUGCCAGCACAGAGGCACAGGGCGAUGUCUCCCUUCCCCCGAGGCGGUGGGAGCCAGCAGAGCAGCGAGCCGGCUGGGAAAUGCUGGGUUUUGUUGCCUGUGAAAUGUGGUCGCCACAGAGGGAAUGGUCGGACUGUUAGAACGGGUUAGAUUUUUUGGUUUUGGUUUGGUUUUGGUUCUCCUUCGGUGCUGCUGCUUUUCGAGGGGAAACAGCUGCGUGCAGAUGUGCACCAGAGAGGAUGGACCCACCUGAGCAGGGUGAGCUGCCUGGGCUCACCUUUCGGAUGGGGAUUGGGAUGGAAAAUUCCCCCGGCACCGCUGCCAUCACCCCGGGCCACCCUGAGCAGGUCCCGGUGCUGCGAUGGAGCCGAAACCCGCAAUCAGCAGCAGAAUAACAAGCCCGGCUGCCUCCCCGGGGGCUCGUUGCUCCCGAGAGGUUCAAUCAGCCCUCAUCGCAUAAAGGAGGGAGGAUAACGCCACUCUCCCCCGGCUGCAUCACUCUCAUUUCCAGUCCUUACCAGCAGAGCAGCACUGCAGGAUCACGGCAGAAGCAGAAGAUGCUGGAGCUCCGUGCGGUGCCCGCUGGUUCGGAGGUGGUUUCCACCGCGGCUGCUGGGAAACACAGCCCGUGGGGGUUUUGUGCCCAGCCAGCGUGGGGGUGAAGGUGCGAGUCGUGAUCCCGCAGCCUUUAAAACUGCUUUGGUCUCCCCGUUUCGGCCAGCCAUUAUUGAUUAUUUUUAGCUGUAAAAGGGGGCAGGGAGGAAUGAGCUGGGACGCAGAGGAUUUGUUAGUUUUGCAGCUGACUGUUGAGAGAUUAACAGACAAACCCCAAGCACUUCGGUAUUGUGUGCUCUUUAUUAUUAAUAUAAACCAGUUUUGCAGUGCUUUGCAGGACACAAAGCUGCCUGCUGCCUGGCUUUCCUCCCACCAGCAGCAGGGUGUGAAGGCCAGUGGCUGGGGCAUCCCUGCUGCAGGGUUUGGUUUGUGUUCUGGAUUUUCCUCCUGCUGCAGAAAGUGGUGGAUGUUCCAGGAAUGGGAUGAGCCUGCCCGUGCCCGACUGAAUGCCAGCCCUCCCACAUCCUCUGGAGUGGGUCCUGAAUCUCCUGGUGUUGAAGAGAUGGCCAUCAGCCCUCUUGCCUGCUGCUGUCCCUCUGGUCUGGGGCAGAAGGGCCAUGUCUGCCCCUGCCAGGACAGAGCAGAGGGGCUGAAUCCCUGCCUGGGGUGACGGCUGCUCUGUCCCUCUCAUCAUGAGCCACUUCACCAAACCCAUCUCACUGAGUUUCAUCUUCUUUUUUGGGUGCAAGCAGCUUUUCCUGGUCACUCUGAGUGGCUGCUCUGAGUCCUUAUGUUGAAGGACCA
rnacentral:lncRNA from 1 species